ACUCUUUUAGAGGUCCUGCCAAGGUGGUCUUGAGUAAGAUUCUGGAGAAUUCCCUAGAUUACCAGGCAGGCUCUUGUUCUCUUCCCUUACUUUCCCCCAAACAAAUGGAGUCUCUCUGUCUGUGCUGAGCUGCCUGAGCUGGGGGA